CAGACCAUAGUUUAAACAAAACAUUGACUUUGGGAGUCAAAAAUCAAUCAACAAUUGUUGUCUGA
rnacentral:tRNA from 1 species